rnacentral:misc_RNA from 1 species
UCCCCUACCCGCAGGAUUGUGGGGAAAUUACGCUGGUCUCUGGAGAUAGAACAGUAAUCACAAUCCAGGAAUCAGCAAUUUAUUUAUUUGAUUAGAAUAUAAUUUACCUUGUUGGGUAGUUUUACUGAUAGAUUGAAUGUCCCCUUAGAUAACAAUCACAUUUUAUAUCAUUUAAAGGUUGAAAGAGACUGUAAACUGAAAUUAUUUCUACCCUUAGUUAAAUAUUGUUGAUCUCGCAAAGUCCCCAAUUGUUUAAUUGUCGUAAUGAGAAGGCUUUGUGUGUGUGCCUGUUUGUGUAUGUGCUUGAGUGAUAGAUUUAUGCUGCCGAUUCUAGGGUCAGGUGACUUCUGUUUCAGAAAGAUAUUUUCAUCAGUUAAAUGAUGAAUUAUUUUGUUACUCAUACUACCAUGUUAUGGUGUUAAUGACAUUUUAUGCAUAUGUAAUAAAAUUAUUAUUUAUCGUUUU